UGGAUUUAGGAAACCUCCAGAUUAUGAAAUCCCUUCAAAUAUUGGAUAGUUAAAAGCCCUUUCAUUUCACCAAUGCUUCUCAAUCAAACCAUCUUCAGACCAAGUUCAACCCGAACCGUAACCACCCUAGAGUUCUAAAUUUGAGUAGCAAACCUACCUUGUUCUGGUUGUGCCGCCACUUCUACUUUCUUGCUUUCCCAUUUUGCUUAAUUUCAAGAUAUGGGAUGGAUAAAGCUAGAAAAGUAUUUCACUUGAUGAUCAAGAAGGGUUGUGCACCUGAUAUAUCUAGUUACAACAUCAUGAUCAAUGGAGAUCGCGAAGCUAGAAGGAUAGAAGAAACAAUGGAACUCUUUCACGAAAUAUUCCAAAAAGGACCAAUUGCAGAUACUCUCACAUACAACACUCUUACGCAAGACCUCUGAAGUAAGUGAGACUUUUGCUGACAGUAAUGUUGAAAAGCUAAAUUUUGAGUGAAAAAUAUUGGAAACUCUAUCUUGUCAGUAGCUGUAAUCGGAAACUCCACCUUUCUUCACUGGGAUGGCUGUUUCCUGCCAAUGGAGCCCACUGCACCAAUGAGAAUAUUGUGGGAAAAUCCUCAACACUUGAACACAAAAUUUGAAGCCAUUGGCAGGUCUCGACCGACAACCCCAGUAGAUUUUACUUUCUGGGUUAAGCUCAUUUUCUGUCAAAGCCCGUGGAGGAGGUUAAUUGUGGUGUUAUGCCAAAGUCUCACUCAACCACAUCUAGUAUAGCGGACAAUAAUCUUUCUUUAAAGCUGUGAACUGGAUUCCUAUUUGUGAUAUGUUCUGUAAAGUUUGACAGUUAAAAUUUUCUGUAGAAUUGUAUGUCGAAUUGGGAUGAUGUUAAUUUCAUUCCUCCUGGUUUUCUUGUAUGUGAUUUAUAUACUCGGGACCUUGUUUAUAUUAGAUGAACUUAGGUGUCAAGUAUUAUAGAUAAUGAAAUUAUGAAAUCGGUUUGUGCUGCUGAACUGUGAAGAGGCUAAUCUGAGCUCGUUUGCUUUGUUCAGGACAAUUACUAUGCUAAUGCAUAGGGAGUGGAACCAGGGAAACAACUGAUAUUCUGGGGAAGAAGGGUCUUUUACAGCAGAAAAAACUUUGGAUAAUUUAGACAGGGAUGCUUGUGGGGGAUUUUUUUUGUUUGAAUGUAUGGUUUGGCAAAAGAUUUUAAGGGUCAAGUUUUUUAGUCCUUAUAUUGUUGGCUUAAAUCGGACAAAUUCUGCUAUUAAUUGUUAAAAGGAUUAGUUAGCUAGUUAGUUAGCAUUUAACUAAUUAGUUUUUUACUGUUAGGAAGUGAGUUAAUUAUUAAGUAUAAGUACAGUACAUUAGGUGAAUAAGAAAUAUGAUUUUUCCAGUAUUUCAACAUGGUAUCAGAUUGCCAGUUAUUUCCUCUGAUUUACUGCUUCCUUUCGUUCUUUCUUGCCUCUGAUCAUCGUUUCUGGCUACUUCCUUUGGUUCUGUGAGUUUUUUUUUUCUUCUUCUCCAUUUUUGGUUUUGUUUUCUUUUGUGCAACAUGGUGAGUCUAAGCACAAUGCAGAUUGAUCUUUCUCAUCCCCUAUAUCUACAUCCCUCCGAUGCUCCAGGGACUUUAUUGGUUUCGCAUCAACUCACUGGAGUUGAAAAUUAUAAUAUAUGGAGUCGUUCAAUGCGUAUAGCUUUGCUUGCUAAGAACAAAGUUGGUUUUAUUGAUGAUUCUUGUUUGUUUGAAGAUACUUUAGUGGCUUUACAGCCACAAUGGGAACAUUGUAAUGCUUUGGUGUUAUCUUGGAUCUUGAAUUCUGUCAGCCAAGAGCUUUCUGCUGGGAUAGUUUUUGCAUCCAGUGCGGCCCUUGUGUAGUCUGAUUUGAAGGAGCGAUUUGAUAAGGUGGAUGGAUCUCGGAUUUAUUUCUUGCAUCGAGAGAUUGUUACACACGUUCAAGAUACAGGUUCAAUUUCUGUUUCUACUGGUAGUGUGAGUUCGAGCUCAUCUCAGGUACCUGUGUUUACACCUGAGCAGUAUCAAUAGAUUCUGGAGCUGUUGGGAAAAUGAUCUAGGGUGCAAGCAUCAGCUCAUAUGACAGGACUUUUGCAGUGGAAAGAUGAUGGGGAUUAGUAGAGUUAAAGGAAAGUCUGUACACAUUUCAUUCACCAACUUUAUCAUCACCGUAAAACUAGUCUAUUAAAUCCUCAUUUGUCAAUUCUAAUUUCAAUUCAUGUUUUUCAUCUAGUAUUUUACCACAUAUAUCCAAUUCUGGUGUUUUAUGGCAUGCUCGACUUGGCCAUUCUUCCUUAAGUACUAUGAAUAAAAUGUCUCAGUUUGAUUCUAAUCUCA